rnacentral:rRNA from 1 species
AGUGAACGCUGGCGGUAGGCCUAACACAUGCAAGUCGAACGGCAGCACAGUAAGAGCUUGCUCUUACUGGUGGCGAGUGGCGGACGGGUGAGGAAUACAUCGGAAUCUACUUUUUCGUGGGGGAUAACGUAGGGAAACUUACGCUAAUACCGCAUACGACCUACGGGUGAAAGCAGGGGAUCUUCGGACCUUGCGCGAUUGAAUGAGCCGAUGUCGGAUUAGCUAGUUGGCGGGGUAAAGGCCCACCAAGGCGACGAUCCGUAGCUGGUCUGAGAGGAUGAUCAGCCACACUGGAACUGAGACACGGUCCAGACUCCUACGGGAGGCAGCAGUGGGGAAUAUUGGACAAAGGGCGCAAGCCUGAUCCAGCCAUACCGCGUGGGUGAAGAAGGCCUUCGGGUUGUAAAGCCCUUUUGUUGGGAAAGAAAAGCAGCAGGUUAAUACCCCGCUGUUCUGACGGUACCCAAAGAAUAAGCACCGGCUAACUUCGUG